rnacentral:lncRNA from 1 species
UUAACAGUCCUAUCCUGUUGUCAUGGCACCCUGCUGAGUGUCCAGCGCUUGCUAUUUGGUAUUUUAGUUGGGGCUGCAUUUUUCUGGUCACCGUGAAUUGCAGGAGACCAGUAUCCCAGGUUCAUUAUUUUUUCUAACCUGUUACCUUUAUGGAUUGAUUAUGAAUACUUUGUACGAGAGAGAUCUUUUGAUUCUUCCUGGCGGGGCAAUAACGAGUCAAGAACACAGGAACGCAGCACUCGCAUAAAUGAGUGGUGUUGGUUGCAUUUUGUGUGGCAUGCCAAGAGUGCUGUGCUUGGGGAGUGGCCAGGUGAAUAGUUAUUAGAGCGGCAUUCCAUAGUCACUACUCAGGAAAAACACACACAGUUCUGGCUGCAUAAGGACUUCAAGUUUGGGCCAAUUAAUUAUUCUUUAUGGAUCAGUAAAAAAGGCUCCAUGUUCUCUAAGAAGAUUUUCAAUGCGUCUCCAGUUUGUCUCUGAAACUCUUUCAGAUCCUAAUGUGGAUGUUAUUAGGGAAGAUUAUUCUGGGGACAGAACAAAGUGUGGCAGGUGCUUUUACGUUUUAAUGUGGGCUGCUCAGUUUCACUUCUAUGGGCCGCUGAGAACUUCCAUCUCUCUGUUCACAUUACUCAGUGCUUGCUGAGCUUUGCACAAGGAGCAAUGGACAAGGAGGAAGUGGGAAGUCCAUUUACGGAGAUGUAAUUUGGUGAUACCUGAAGGCGUCAAACAGGAGCUGAAAAAUAAACUGGUACAAGGACUGAAGAUGAUGAAGGUUUUGGGCCUUGUUCUCUGUGGCCUGCUGAUGCCAAUGCAAGUUUCAGGCACAGGACGCUGCAUUAUCCCUCAAGAGUCAUAUGAAAGGGCUUGUGAAGAGUCAGUAACUGGCCUCUUCCGGCAUGAAAUGGAGACACUCAAAUUCCCAGGAUCAACAAUUACCUUAAUUGCUAUCAAUGGGUUGCAUGUUGCUAAAGCCAUUGUGCUCCCAGUGAAAUCCAAGUACAUUCCUGGAGUUGGGGUCAAGGUGAAAUUUUCUGCUAAACUCAAAAUCCUGGGCACUUGCUGGUCUAUCCUCUUAUCUGGCCUGACCACUAUCAACGUGCAUGUAGACUGUAGUGCGCUCGUUCUGCUGCCUAAGUAUUUGCCGCUUACCACCAGCGUUGCCGUCAAGGAUUGUCAAUGUGCGAUGGUUCUCAAGGACAUCAGUAUCAACUUGCUCGAUAUCCGUGCGAGCGUGACAGCCAGCCUAGGGAACAACAUUCUACUGGCGUUACAAGUCAAGAUCCCGACGAUACUUUCCGCUUGUAUUUCCUUCGGGCAUUCAAAGAUGCUGAGUGAGAUUAACUCUGUACUCCCAUUUGAGAAGGGAAAGCUCCUGUAUGUGGCUCAAACUCCAAAAGUAAAUGACCGGUUCAUUGAAAUUCCUGUACAGACGGAAUACCUGGCUGACGAUGGGAAGAAGAUCCCCAUUCCACCCCUCCCGGAGAACUUUGUGAUAUUGCCAGAAAUGAAUCAUACAUCUGAGGCCAUAGGGGAGAAUGUCAUCACUUCUAUCUUCUCCUACACAGUCUUCAAGAAACCUCAUUCCUUCUCUUGUACCCCUCAAACGUUUCUUGACACUGUCUCCCUGGAGCUGAUCCUCUCUGAACUGAUUGUUUCCAAGUGCCCAACCUGCACUCCAAUCUCCUCUUCGCUGUUCAUCAUUACCAAAAUGGUCACACCUCUGACGGUCGGUCUGGAUGUGAACCUGUGCACCAUGAAUCUCACUCUCAGCCUGCAGAUAAUGGAUAAAAAGGGAAACAAGAAACCUGUGCUCCUCGUUGCUUUGAAAGCAGAACUCGGUUUGGUUGCCACUCUCCAGCUGGUUGAAGGAAAGGUGCAAUUCACUGCAUCCCUGGACAGAUUGCAUUUCAAGCUGCUUUCCUCAAUCGUGGGCCCUGUCAUUAUUGUACGUCUUCAGGUGCCUUUGAGAGCCUUCAUCACGAAAAUUAUACUAAAGGAGAUCAACUGUAAGUCCAGUUAGAUGUUUUCUUAAGUGAUUUCUUGUCUGCCAAGUACAUAGUCUACAUCUCUGUGUGCUGUGGUUAAGUGAUCGCAAAAGGCACUCCCUGUCUUCCUAAGGUAGGUAGGUAGGACACGUGCUGCUGCCUUCAUGAGGUAGUGACCGUAAGAAAAGGAUUUACGAAAUGGAGACCCUUUUUAAAAAAAAGGGCAUUUAUGGGAGUGAAAUUCCCUUCUCACUUGCCCACCAUCUUGGGAAUUCCCUUUUACAGGGCUGUCAGAGAGAGAGCGAGCCCAAAGUCGCACAGGAAAGCCACUUGAGAAAUGUAAAAGCUCCUGCAAUCAUGCUGCUUACUGAAAUGCCCUCUAAAGCUUUCCUCUCCCAAAUGGCUUCCUCCGCCCGACAGAAACCCAAGCACUGAAAAAGUAACUGCAGCGGAAUGGGCUGCUUACUGCGUUUGUGCAUGAAUUCUGGACGCUGUCCCCUCCCCUCCUCCACAUAGGUCCUGUCUCGGCCUGUCUGUUUAUCAUAUCCACCGGUUGCGUUUGAUCUUUUAGCUGCAAGUCUUGGGGCAGGGAGUAUCACUUAUUACAUGUUUGUACACUGCUUGGCACCUGGGCCUGGUUGUGUCCUUUGGGUGCUACUGCAGUAUCAAUAUUUAAUAAUGGGGUGCGUAUGGUACAGAACACUGAGGCCCCAACUUUCCAAAGUUCACUUCGGCGCACGCCUGAUUCUAUUUGUGUAAGCCCAGAUGCAUGCACCAAAUCAGGAACACACAUGAGUGCCUCUUUAAUUUGGGCCUAGAAACUGGCUCUUCAAAUCCCCUCUUGAUCUGCUUCCUUCUAAGGAUGGGGGUGGUGUUUACAAGGUUUUUUGUCCUCCAAGCUCGUUGGAGUUUGCAAACCAUAUACGAGUUCACUAACCGCCCUGGAGUUAUAUCCUGGUACGUUCACUCACCACAAAACCCUAGUUAGAGUGUUCAUGAUGAUUAGUAACUUCUCUGAUUUUGUGCCUUUGAGAG